rnacentral:rRNA from 1 species
GAUGAACGCUAGCUACAGGCUUAACACAUGCAAGUCGAGGGGCAGCAUGGUCUUAGCUUGCUAAGGCCGAUGGCGACCGGCGCACGGGUGAGUAACACGUAUCCAACCUGCCGUCUACUCUUGGACAGCCUUCUGAAAGGAAGAUUAAUACAAGAUGGCAUCAUGAGUCCACAUGUUCACAUGAUUAAAGGUAUUCCGGUAGACGAUGGGGAUGCGUUCCAUUAGAUAGUAGGCGGGGUAACGGCCCACCUAGUCUUCGAUGGAUAGGGGUUCUGAGAGGAAGGUCCCCCACAUUGGAACUGAGACACGGUCCAAACUCCUACGGGAGGCAGCAGUGAGGAAUAUUGGUCAAUGGGCGAGAGCCUGAACCAGCCAAGUAGCGUGAAGGAUGACUGCCCUAUGGGUUGUAAACUUCUUUUAUAAAGGAAUAAAGUCGGGUAUGGAUACCCGUUUGCAUGUACUUUAUGAAUAAGGAUCGGCUAACUCCGUGCCAGCAGCCGCGGUAAUACGGAGGAUCCGAGCGUUAUCCGGAUUUAUUGGGUUUAAAGGGAGCGUAGAUGGAUGUUUAAGUCAGUUGUGAAAGUUUGCGGCUCAACCGUAAAAUUGCAGUUGAUACUGGAUAUCUUGAGUGCAGUUGAGGCAGGCGGAAUUCGUGGUGUAGCGGUGAAAUGCUUAGAUAUCACGAAGAACUCCGAUUGCGAAGGCAGCCUGCUAAGCUGCAACUGACAUUGAGGCUCGAAAGUGUGGGUAUCAAACAGGAUUAGAUACCCUGGUAGUCCACACGGUAAACGAUGAAUACUCGCUGUUUGCGAUAUACAGCAAGCGGCCAAGCGAAAGCGUUAAGUAUUCCACCUGGGGAGUACGCCGGCAACGGUGAAACUCAAAGGAAUUGACGGGGGCCCGCACAAGCGGAGGAACAUGUGGUUUAAUUCGAUGAUACGCGAGGAACCUUACCCGGGCUUAAAUUGCAGAUGAAUUACGGUGAAAGCCGUGAGCCGCAAGGCAUCUGUGAAGGUGCUGCAUGGUUGUCGUCAGCUCGUGCCGUGAGGUGUCGGCUUAAGUGCCAUAACGAGCGCAACCCUUGUUGUCAGUUACUAACAGGUUCCGCUGAGGACUCUGACAAGACUGCCAUCGUAAGAUGUGAGGAAGGUGGGGAUGACGUCAAAUCAGCACGGCCCUUACGUCCGGGGCUACACACGUGUUACAAUGGGGGGUACAGAGGGCCGCUACCACGCGAGUGGAUGCCAAUCCCAAAAACCUCUCUCAGUUCGGACUGGAGUCUGCAACCCGACUCCACGAAGCUGGAUUCGCUAGUAAUCGCGCAUCAGCCACGGCGCGGUGAAUACGUUCCCGGGCCU